UACAUAGACUCGGCUCUCUCAAGGGUGGUCGGCUCACCUCGCUUUACCCUAUCUAUAGGGAAGGGGGUGAGAAUAUGACGGUAUAUGAGGCAAUUUCACUAAUGAUAGCUUUUGGCAUGCUGAUAAUUGCCCUACUGUCCUUCCCUAGACGGAAAUAGACCUCCCUUGAGCUAACGACCCUGGGAAGUCCAUUUCUUCAGUAAGUCCUUUUGAGCCACCCCUUUGAAGGGAUAGUCUUUGUACAAACCGUGGGUGUUACCAGCACCUGCG
rnacentral:sRNA from 1 species